UGUUUCACAAAUUGCUAACGUGCCCAGAAGAUGGAAGCCCAGCUGCAGAACACAUGAGUUCAGACUCCUGCCCGAGCCUCGUGUUUCAUGAUGACCUCAACUUCCUGUGCUGAAUGGGAACCCAUGCGAUUUGAUGACAGAUUGUUUACCCGAAUCCUGAAAGAAAGGAUGAAAAUGAAAGAUGUGUCAAUAGAGCCAGCUUGCUGACCACCUGCACCUUCUGACAUAUGAAAGGCACAGAAAAAUCUACAAAGGUGGCACUUCAUGAUGAAGCUGGAUGGAUGUGUCGAUCAAUAUACAAAGAAGUAAGAAAUCUGAAGAAGAGCCGAUGUUCUCCAAAGUCUUGAGGCUAAGAAAAGAAUGAUAGCCUAUAUGGUCAGAAUGUCUGGAUGAUUCCUGUGCCGCUUUGCUGUGGUUUAAACUCCCACUGAUGCUGGACUGCCACCAUCUGAUCUGGACUCCCGUGGUUCUAGUGUUCCUGCUCACAGUCACAGUGAAUUUCUUGGCCUUUGACCUGUAUUUCUCUAAGUGUAGGCUACUGCUUCUGAAACAUGUUGCAUCAGUUAAGAUGCAGAGCCCCCCCAGCAAGCAGUGACCAUCUGAGCUGACUUCUCUUGCGACUGUGAAGACCCCAUUGCUUACUUGUCUCUCCUGAGGACCGCUCUGGCUGUUUGGUCAGGAGAGAGCUG